GGGAGAGAUGGCCGAGUGGUUAAUGGCUCCGGUCUUGAAAACCGGUAUAGAUAAAAAAACUAUCGAGGGUUCGAAUCCCUCUCUCUCCUU
rnacentral:tRNA from 2 species